rnacentral:lncRNA from 1 species
CAGCAACUAGUAAUGACUACCUACCAUGUUUAUGUGUUCUGGUAAGUGCCUUAGAAUUUGUGAUAUCAGUUUAUCCAGGUCUUUGUGACAGUUAAAUAUGGAGGAUGAGGGGAAGAUAUCAAGAAUAACGGCUAGGUUUUUAGAACAGGUUUUGUAGCUUGGGGGAGAAGAAACAAAUUGUACAUAUUGUGUCUGAGGAACCUGUGGAAGAUUCAGGUUAUGUCUAGUGGGUAGUUAGAUACAGCAGAGAAAUAGGAGCCAUCUGGCCCCAACAGUAGAUUUGUGAACCACCAGGGUAUAAGCAGUAACUGAGG